rnacentral:rRNA from 1 species
GAUGAACGCUAGCGGGAGGCCUAAUACAUGCAAGUCGAACGGUAACAGGGUAGCAAUACCGCUGACGAGUGGCGCACGGGUGAGUAACACGUACACAAUCUGCCUUAUACUGGGGCAUACCCUCGGGAAACUGAGAAUAAUUCCCCAUAAUAUAUCGAAGCGGCAUCGUUUUGAUAUUAAAACUCCGGUGGUAUAAGAUGAGUGUGCGUCUGAUUAGCUAGUUGGUAAGGUAACGGCUUACCAAGGCUACGAUCAGUAACUGGUCUGAGAGGAUGAUCAGUCACACGGACACUGAGACACGGGUCCGACUCCUACGGGAGGCAGCAGUAGGGAAUAUUGGACAAUGGAGGCAACUCUGAUCCAGCCAUCCCGCGUGAAGGAUUAAGGCCCUCUGGGUUGUAAACUUCUUUUCUCUGGGAAUAAAACCGGUAUUCAUAUCGGCUUGAAGGUACCAGAGGAAUAAGCACCGGCUAACUCCGUGCCAGCAGGCGCGGUAA